GGCCUUGCCGGAGCUUCCUCCUCGGCCAGCGUUGUUGUUGGCGUCGUCAUUGUUGUUUGGUUGUUGUUGUUUUUCCCCGCUGCGUGUGCUGUUGUGGUUGUUCAGCUGUCGCGAUCGGCGAUCGCCUUGCCCUACCGUCUCGCUGUCGUCGAAGUCGACGUUGUGGCCACUCUCUCUCUCCUCACCGUACUUUUGCCAUUUUUGGUGGUUGUUCAAGGUUCAAGUAAACCACAAUGCACCACUUUGUUGACAAGGAGUCGAGAUCAAUUAAAAAGUCAAAGGCAUCCUAUGAGUGAUAUUUCAAAUGUUGUUUCAAGAUUUGGAAAACAAGUGGAAGAAAAUCAAAAUGUAGAUAUAUCAAUCAUAAAGAACGGAGGAACUACUGAAAAGGGCAAUUACAAAUUAGCUAGAGCAAACAUGAAGUACAUAUUACAUCAAAAGCGUACAAAAAAUGAAAGAAUUGUACAUGAGUCUUUGCUAUCUCCACAUGACUGCGUGUCUAAAGGAAUUGAACAACGCGUUGCAAUGAACAAAAGGAAAAUAAUAUUAUCACAGAAACGUGAAACGUG